AUACCAAAUGUGUCCAAAUUGGGAUCGAUCAAGAUAGAACUCAUACCCUUUCUCUCCCUUUCUUUGGCUCACUACCACUCCAAUCUUGCAAAGAGAAGGUCCCUCUACACAUACAAGUUCUCCCAAUACAAAAUUACGUUCAUAUAUUUCCACACAUAGUUAUAAAACGGCCAUAUUUAUUGCAAUAUUGCACACCAAUUUUAAUAUUAAAAUAUUACUCAACCUACCAAUUUUUGCAAGUUUGCUAUAUUAUCAAAAAUGCCGCAACUCUGUCUCGUCUGGCUAGAUUAUGAACAAACACCAGCCGGGCUUGGCUGGGUGGUCACCAUCGAUGGGUUGGACCGCUAUCAGGUUAAAGAUUUCGAGGACCUGCAAGGUGAGGAAGAACUCGGUCGUCGAUUCCCCCACGGUCACUAUUGGGCCAGCCGAGGAGCCCAAAUUCUUUGGUGGGGACAAGUAUACCCAUGAGCCCAUCAAGCCAAUUAUGGACUCGUACUUCGAAAUAUUGAAAAGUUUUUAGGAUUCUACUUGAUUGGUGUCAGUACGAAGACAGAGGCGAAAAAAAGGCAAGAGUUCUAUUUGGACGAUGGGACACGUCAUUUUUUAGUAGAGUUCAAUUACGGAUUUUGUGCUAAAUUAUUACUCAAAAACUUUAAAAAUCCAAAAUUUAAAACCCUUCAAAAUUAUGUAUUUAGUAGAAAAUACAUAAAUUUAUGUAUGACUUAACCUUUUGUAUUAUUUCACAAGAAAUUGGAAAAGUAUUUCUCAAAAAAUCAUCCAUAACUAUUAAUAAACUUGGU